rnacentral:rRNA from 2 species
GGGUUGUGAGGUUAAGCGACUAAGCGUACACGGUGGAUGCCCUGGCAGUCAGAGGCGAUGAAGGGCGUGCUAAUCUGCGAUAAGCGCCGGUAAGGUGAUAUGAACCGUUAUAACCGGCGAUACCCGAAUGGGGAAACCCAGUGUGAUUCGUCACACUAUCAUUAACUGAAUCCAUAGGUUAAUGAGGCGAACCGGGGGAACUGAAACAUCUAAGUACCCCGAGGAAAAGAAAUCAACCGAGAUUCCCCCAGUAGCGGCGAGCGAACGGGGAGGAGCCCAGAGCCUGAAUCAGCAUGUGUGUUAGUGGAAGCGUCUGGAAAGGCGCGCGAUACAGGGUGACAGCCCCGUACACAAAAGCGCAUGUGCUGUGAGCUCGAUGAGUAGGGCGGGACACGUGGUAUCCUGUCUGAAUAUGGGGGGACCAUCCUCCAAGGCUAAAUACUCCUGACUGACCGAUAGUGAACCAGUACCGUGAGGGAAAGGCGAAAAGAACCCCGGCGAGGGGAGUGAAAAAGAACCUGAAACCGUGUACGUACAAGCAGUGGGAGCCCCACCACUAAGCCAGUGGUGAACUCCACAUACGCAUCCUUUGCUGAGGAUACGGUUAACGGAGCGAAAGCGACGUUCAACCGCAAAAGAAGCAGAGGGGGCUUAGUGGUGGGGUGACUGCGUACCUUUUGUAUAAUGGGUCAGCGACUUAUAUUCUGUAGCAAGGUUAACCGAAUAGGGGAGCCGCAGGGAAACCGAGUCUUAAUUGGGCGUUAAGUUGCAGGGUAUAGACCCGAAACC